rnacentral:rRNA from 1 species
AGUGAACGCUGGCGGUAGGCCUACACAUGCAAGUCGAACGGCAGCACAGUAAGAGCUUGCUCUUACGGGUGGCGAGUGGCGGACGGGUGAGGAAUACAUCGGAAUCUACUUUUUCGUGGGGGAUCACGUAGGGAAACUUACGCUAAUACCGCAUACGACCUACGGGUGAAAGCAGGGGAUCUUCGGACCUUGCGCGAUUGAAUGAGCCGAUGUCGGAUUAGCUAGUUGGCGGGGUAAAGGCCCACCAAGGCGACGAUCCGUAGCUGGUCUGAGAGGAUGAUCAGCCACACUGGAACUGAGACACGGUCCAGACUCCUACGGGAGGCAGCAGUAGGGAAUAUUGGACAAUGGGCGCAAGCCUGAUCCAGCCAUACCGCGUGGGUGAAGAAGGCCUUCGGGUUGUAAAGCCCUUUUGUUGGGAAAGAAAAGCAGCAGGUUAAUACCCCGCUGUUCUGACGGUACCCAAAGAAUAAGCACCGGCUAACUUCGUG